ACAGGAUUAGAUACCCUGGUAGUCCACGCCCUAAACGAUGAGUACUAAACGUUGGAUAAAACCAGUGUUGAAGUUAACACAUUAAGUACUCCGCCUGAGUAGUACGUACGCAAGUAUGAAACUUAAAGGAAUUGACGGGACUCCGCACAAGCGGUGGAUCAUGUUGUUUAAUUCGAAGGUACCCGAAAAACCUCACCAGGUCUUGACAUGCUUUUGCAAAACUGUAGAAAUACAGUGGAGGUUAUCAGAAGCACAGGUGGUGCAUGGUUGUCGUCAGCUCGUGUCGUGAGAUGUUGGGUUAAGUCCCGCAACGAGCGCAACCCUUGUUGUUAAUUGCCAUCAUUAAGUUGGGGACUUUAGCAAGACUGCCAAUGAUAAAUUGGAGGAAGGUGGGGACGACGUCAAAUCAUCAUGCCCCUUAUGACCUGGGCUACAAACGUGAUACAAUGGCUGUUACAAAGGGUAGCUAAAGCGUAAGCUUCUGGCGAAUCUCAAAAAAGCAGUCUCAGUUCGGAUUGAAGUCUGCAACUCGACUUCAUGAAGUUGGAAUCGCUAGUAAUCGCGAAUCAGCAUGUCGCGGUGAAUACGUUCUCGGGGUUUGUACACACCGCCCGUCAAACCACGAAAGUUGGCAAUACCCAAAGCCGGUGGCCUAACUUGAGCAAUCAAGAAGGAGCCGUCUAAGGUAGGGUUGAUGAUUGGGGUUAAGUCGUAACAAGGUAUCCCUACCGGAAGGUGGGGAUGGAUCACCUCCUUU
rnacentral:rRNA from 1 species